UAAAUCAUUAUCCAUACGCAUACAUACUACACACAUACGUGUGUAUAUAUAGAACUAGGCUGGAAUAUUAUUAAUAGCACAAAUGAUUUGGUACUAUUAAGUUUUCUACCCUUGUAUUAAAAAAUGUGCGGUUAGAAUGAUAUGGAUUCUCUAGGGUUGAGUGGGUGAUUAGUUGAAUAAUAUAAUUAAAAAAAUAAAAAUGAUAAAAGAGAUAAAUCUAACGGCAGAAAACUUGAUAGUACCAAAUAUUUCGUGCUAUCGAUAGCAUCCCAGCCGGACUAUAUAUAUAUAUAU
rnacentral:lncRNA from 1 species